GUGCUUGCUUUGGCAGCAUGUAUAUUAAAAUUGGAAAGAUACAGAGAAGACUAGCAUGGCCCCUGCGCAAGGAUGACAUGCAAAUUCUGUGACCUGGGCAAAUGGAUC